AUUGAACGCUGGCGGCAGGCCUAACACAUGCAAGUCGAACGAGUGGCGGACGGGUGAGUAAUGUCUGGGAAACUGCCUGAUGGAGGGGGAUAACUACUGGAAACGGUAGCUAAUACCGCAUACCAUCGGAUGUGCCCAGAUGGGAUUAGCUUGUUGGUGGGGUAACGGCUCACCAAGGCGACGAUCCCUAGCUGGUCUGAGAGGAUGCCCAGCCACACGGGAGCUGGGACACGGGCCAUACUCCGACGGGAGGCAGCAGUGGGGAAGAUUGCACAAUGGGCGCAAGCCUGGUGCAGCCAUGCCACGUGUAUGAAGAAGGCCUGCGGGUUGUAAAGUACUUUCAGCGGGGAGGCGUUACCCGCAGAAGAAGCACCGGCUAACUCCGUGCCAGCAGCCGCGGUAAUAC
rnacentral:rRNA from 1 species